rnacentral:lncRNA from 1 species
UGGGUGUUCAUUUGAGAAAUGAGUCCACUGAAUUGACUCGAUGAAAGAGAAUAUCUAAUGGAAGCCUUAUUUGUAUGUUAAAGAUGGUUCUCUAAGUGGGAGUUGUACAAGUGAUCCUUAGACUGAAACUACUAUGGAAUCUUAUGCACAUGAACCCAUAUUUUGGUUCAUACCCAGGCAUGGCAUUAGGACAUGUACGGG